CGGGUGAGUAAUACAUCGGAACGUGUCCCGUAGUGGGGGAUAGCCCGGCGAAAGCCGGAUUAAUACCGCAUAUGCUCUACGGAGGAAAGUGGGGGACUCGCAAGGGCCUCACGUUAUGGGAGCGGCCGAUGUCCGAUUAGCUUGUUGGCGGGGUAAUGGCCCACCAAGGCGACGAUCGGUAGCUGGUCUGAGAGGAUGAUCAGCCACACUGGGACUGAGACACGGCCCAG
rnacentral:rRNA from 1 species